ACACUUCCGAGUCAUAUUUUCGCAUAGAAAAGCCACCGAACAGGAACUUGUUACAUACCAAGGAUCGAUCGGAAGUUUUUUUCUCUGCGAAAAUGUGAUUUCGGAACUGU
rnacentral:pre_miRNA from 1 species